rnacentral:rRNA from 1 species
UACGAGGGGUGCAAGCGUUGCUCGGAAUUAUUGGGCGUAAAGGGUAGGUAGGUGGUCUCAUUUGUCUGGGGUGAAAGCCUUGAGCUUAACUCAAGAAGUGCCCCAGAAACGGUGAGACUCGAGUACUGGAGAGGGUCGUGGAAUUCCCGGUGUAGCGGUGAAAUGCGUAGAGAUCGGGAGGAACACCAGAGGCGAAGGCGGCGACCUGGACAGUUACUGACACUCAACUACGAAAGCGUGGGGAGCAAACAGG